rnacentral:rRNA from 1 species
UGCCAGCAGCCGCGGUAAUACGUAGGGAGCGAGCGUUAUCCGGAUUUAUUGGGUGUAAAGGGUGCGUAGACGGGAAAAUAAGUUAGUUGUGAAAGCCCUCGGCUUAACUGAGGAACUGCAACUAAAGCUAUUUUUCUUGAGUAUUGGAGGGGAAAGUGGAAUUCCUAGUGUAGCGGUGAAAUGCGUAGAUAUUAGGAGGAACACCGGUGGCGAAGGCGACUUUCUGGACAAUUACUGACGUUGAGGCACGAAAGUGUGGGGAGCAAACAGGAUUAGAUA